CAGAGUGACAGGUGGUGCAUGGUUGUCGUCAGCUCGUGUCGUGAGAUGUUGGGUUAAGUCCCGCAACGAGCGCAACCCUUGAUCUUAGUUGCCAUCAUUAAGUUGGGCACUCUAAGGUGACUGCCGGUGACAAACCGGAGGAAGGUGGGGAUGACGUCAAAUCAUCAUGCCCCUUAUGACCUGGGCUACACACGUGCUACAAUGGACGGUACAAAGAGCUGCAAGACCGCGAGGUGGAGCUAAUCUCAUAAAACCGUUCUCAGUUCGGAUUGUAGGCUGCAACUCGCCUACAUGAAGCUGGAAUCGCUAGUAAUCGCGGAUCAGCAUGCCGCGGUGAAUACGUUCCCGGGCCUUGUACACACCGCCCGUCACACCACGAGAGUUUGUAACACCCGAAGUCGGUGGGGUAACCUUUUUGGAGCCAGCCGCCUAAGGUGGGACAGAUGAUUGGGGUGAAGUCGUAACAAGGUAGCCGUAUCGGAAGGUGCGGCUGGAUCACCUCCUUUCUAUGGA
rnacentral:rRNA from 1 species